GCCGGGUGCGGUGGCGCGUGCCUGUAAUCCAAGCUACUGGGAGGCUGAGGCUGGCGGAUCGUUUGAGCUCAGGGGUUCUGGGCUGCAGUGGGCUAUGCCGAUCGGGUGUCCGCACUAAGUUCGGUAUCGAUAUGGUGCUCCUGAGGCAGCUCGGGACCACCAGGUCGCCUAAGGAGGGGUGAACCGGCCCAGGUCGGGAACGGAGCAGGUCAAAGCCCCCGUGCCGAUCAGUAGUGGGAUCGCGCCUGUGAAUAGACACUGCCGUGCAGCCUGAGUAAUACAGCGGGACUCAGUCUUUU
ensembl:misc_RNA Metazoa_SRP Metazoan signal recognition particle RNA